rnacentral:rRNA from 1 species
GAACUGAAGAGUUUGAUCAUGGCUCAGAUUGAACGCUGGCGGCAGGCCUAACACAUGCAAGUCGAGCGGAUGAAGGGAGCUUGCUCCUGGAUUCAGCGGCGGACGGGUGAGUAAUGCCUAGGAAUCUGCCUGGUAGUGGGGGAUAACGUCCGGAAACGGGCGCUAAUACCGCAUACGUCCUGAGGGAGAAAGUGGGGGAUCUUCGGACCUCACGCUAUCAGAUGAGCCUAG